GACGAACGCUGGCGGCGUGCCUAAUACAUGCAAGUAGAACGCACAGUUUAUACCGUAGCUUGCUACACCAUAAACUGUGAGUUGCGAACGGGUGAGUAACGCGUAGGUAACCUGCCUGGUAGCGGGGGAUAACUAUUGGAAACGAUAGCUAAUACCGCAUAAUAUUAAUUAUUGCAUGAUAAUUGAUUGAAAGAUGCAAUUGCAUCACUACCAGAUGGACCUGCGUUGUAUUAGCUAGUAGGUGAGGUAAAGGCUCACCUAGGCGACGAUACAUAGCCGACCUGAGAGGGUGAUCGGCCACACUGGGACUGAGACACGGCCCAGACUCCUACGGGAGGCAGCAGUAGGGAAUCUUCGGCAAUGGACGAAAGUCUGACCGAGCAACGCCGCGUGAGUGAAGAAGGUUUUCGGAUCGUAAAGCUCUGUUGUAAGAGAAGAACGGGUGUGAGAGUGGAAAGUUCACACUGUGACGGUAUCUUACCAGAAAGGGACGGCUAACUACGUG
rnacentral:rRNA from 1 species